GAGACACGGCCCCCACUCCUACGGGAGGCAGCAGCAGGGAAUCUUCCGCAAUGGGCGAAAGCCUGACGGAGCGAUGCCGCGUGAGGGAUUAAGGUUUUUGGAUUGUAAACCUCUUUUCUUGGGGAAGAGCAAGGACGGUACCCAAGGAAUAAGUGACGGCUAACUACGUGCCAGCAGCCGCGGUAAUACGUAGGUCACGAACGUUGUCCGGAAUUAUUGGGCGUAAAGGGUCCGUAGGCCGUUUGGUCAGUCUCCUGUGAAAUCUCUAGGCUCAACCUAGAGAGGUCGGGAGAUACUGCUAAACUAGAGAUUGUCAGAGGCAAGUGGAAUUCCCGGUGUAGUGGUGAAAUGCGUAGAUAUCGGGAGGAACAUCAAUGGCGAAAGCAGCUUGCUGGGGCAUUUCUGACGCUGAGGGACGAAAGCGUGGGUAGCAAACCGGAUUAGAUACCCGGGUAGUCCAUGCCCUAAACGAUGAAUGCUAGGUUUGCGGGGUAUCGACCCCUUGUGAGCCGAAGCUAACGCGAUAAGCAUUCCGCCUGGGGACUACGGCCGCAAGGCUAAAACUCAAAGGAAUUGACGGGGGCCCGCACAAGCAGCGGAGCGUGUGGUUUAAUUCGAUGGUAAGCGAAGAACCUUACCUAGGCUUGACAUGUAAGUUACUGAUCUGAAAAGUGAGGAACCCGCAAGGGAGCUUACACAGGUGUUGCAUGGCUGUUGUCAGCUCGUGCCGUGAGGUGUUGGGUUAAGUCCCGCAACGAGCGCAACCCCUAUUACUAGUUAUUUUCUCUAGUGAGACUGCCCCUAAAAGGGAGGAAGGUGGGGACGACUUCAAGUCAUCAUGACUCUUACGUCUAGGGCUACACACACGCUACAAUGGCCAGUACAGACGGUUGCUAAGCCGCGAGGUGGAGCCAAUCCGAUAAAGCUGGUCUCAGUUGGGAUUGAAGGCUGCAACUCGCCUUCAUGAACGCGGAGUUGCUAGUAAACGCAGGUCAGCACACUGCGUUGAAUACGUU
rnacentral:rRNA from 1 species